rnacentral:rRNA from 1 species
GAUUAACGCUGGCGGCGUGCCUAAUACAUGCAAGUCGAGCGAACGGACGAGAAGCUUGCUUUUCUGAUGUUAGCGGCGGACGGGUGAGUAACACGUGGAUAACCUACCUAUAAGACUGGGAUAACUUCGGGAAACCGGAGCUAAUACCGGAUAAUAUUUUGAACCGCAUGGUUCAAAAGUGAAAGACGGUCUUGCUGUCACUUAUAGAUGGAUCCGCGCUGCAUUAGCUAGUUGGUAAGGUAACGGCUUACCAAGGCAACGAUGCAUAGCCGACCUGAGAGGGUGAUCGGCCACACUGGAACUGAGACACGGUCCAGACUCCUACGGGAGGCAGCAGUAGGGAAUCUUCCGCAAUGGGCGAAAGCCUGACGGAGCAACGCCGCGUGAGUGAUGAAGGUCUUCGGAUCGUAAAACUCUGUUAUUAGGGAAGAACAUAUGUGUAAGUAACUGUGCACAUCUUGACGGUACCUAAUCAGGAAGCCACGGCUAACUACGUG